GUGUCACUCGUAGGUAAACAUAAAACAUACCCAGUGUCACUCGUAGGUAAACAUAAAACAUACCUAGUGUCACUCGUAGGUAAACAUAAAACAUACCUAGUGUCACUCGUCUGUGUUGUUUGAAACAGGGUUCUUUUAUCUCUUACUUUUAUUAUAUUUUUUUUAAAAAGAUUUUUAUUUGUUCUUCCUUGAAUUAUUAUUUGCUAGUAAACAUUGUUGAUGUUUUACAUGGUGUUUAUUUUAGUGUAUUUGACUAUUAAACACUUGUUUAUUGUAUUUAUUAUCACUAAAUGCAAUCUGGGUGACAGAUAAAUAAAAUGGCACCCAUUAGGGCACCUUUCUAUUUAUCUGUCACCCAGGUGGCAUUUAUAGUGACAAUAAAUUUAAUUUUGUUAAACAUUUGUCUUUCUUAAAUAAAUAUGUUCUUUAUUUUCACCCAUUUUCUUGUAUGUUUAUUUGAAAGAAUAGCAUUUUAAAAUCAAAUUAAUUUCUGUGAUUGAUUUGCAACCAAUCUGACAUACAUCACAAAGUCUUGCCGUGACAAUGAUCAAAAUAGCGCCAAAUGGCAGCAUAGUAAUGCAAUUGUUCAUAAUCAUAAUUCUCCCUGCGUUUGAUUCAUUUGUAGCGCAUAGCGAAGCAUUUCCAUGAUGUUGAUAAAAAUGACAUAACAAUCACAUCAUGUGAUCUUGACUUCAUCUAUACGCUCUAAGAUGAAGUCCAGACUAACAUUGAGGCAAUGGGAGACUGUGGUGCCAAAUUCAAAUAUUCAAAAAUAGUGUUGAUUUUCUGGAUUAAUUGCUGUGCAUGUAUUAUACAACUUGUUUUUUUGACAUUUAGUACAUGUAUAUUGGGGUAAUUCUAAAAAAUAAUAACAAACAAAUUUAACCACACUUUAUUUGAAUCGGAAAUAUGAAAAAUCUAAACAUUUCUACAACUUUAGUUGUUAAAUCCUACUAAAAGUAACACUUUUUCUGUCUCCAUAGUUACCAAUGUUGUAACAAAUGUAGGUGUUGAAAUUGAAAAUCCUUAUUUGAAAAUAAAAGAUUAGGCCCACUCAACAGUUCUGAUCAAAGUUCUAAAUCUUCCAGUUGAAUAUCCUACACAUGACCGACUCUCUCUGUUCUCUGUAUCAUCAUCUAAAGUCUGUCAAAUCAUCACCCGAUUGUCCAUGGCAAUCUUUUUAAAUAUGCUGAUCAUUUACUUAUCAUUAUCAGAAUUAUUUGCAGAAGCUUACCGCAUAGAUCUCCCCUAGUCCUCUAAAUUAAAGGUUCACCAGCUAUGAUACAGUGUGAGAAAAUAAAUCGUGAAGUCUUGUAGACAAUAGCUACCUAUACUGUAUAAAGUUCUAUGGCGGGUUUGAUAGACUUCACAAAAUAUUGUAGAACAUAAUAUUUCUGAAAUAUAAUUUGACCGAAUUAUAUUUCAUUUCAAAAGUUUUCCGCUAUUUGAGGUUGAUUACAUUGCAUAGAUAUUAGGUCUAUCAUUUUGUAUAGACACACAUAGCCACAAUCUAUCGGUCUACCGUUACUUUAGCACACUGUUAUAACAGGGUAUAUCGUUUUUUUUGUUUUUUUGUUUUUUUAUGUUUUUUCAGAAUUUUUUCUUUAUUUAGUGUUUGCAUUGACACAUCAUUUUUCACCUAAAAAUUGGGUUUUAGAUGUGAGGAAAAAUUGACCAGAUUUAAUCACUAAAUCGCUACUGGGAAGGGGUGAAGCAACAUUAGGGAGUUGUUCAAGUGUGUUGGUGUGUUUGCAUUUUUUAAGAAAUUUUGAGAUGUAAAAUUAUUGAUGAAGUCGCACAAAGUUGUUGCUAUUAAAUUUUCUUUUUUCUUCUUGUUUACUUGUGUUGCUUUUUAAUAAGGAUUUAUUUGAAUUUCAACACUUUUAAUGCAUUUAUAUUUGCCAUGACAUAUACCUGUAUUUUAGGAUGUAAUUUUUUGCCUAUCAGAAAAUAUUAACUUGUUUUGUUUAACAAAAAAUGAUACUGUAACACAGUAACAGCAAUCAUUGUCAGUCAUCGCAGCUGUGAAAGUGGAAAUACUUGUACUUGAAAUUUAAUGUUGAUUUUUCAUUUACUGAAACAAAAAUCGGUGUUAAAAUACAAGUGUGCUGUAAAGUCCACUUUGUGGUUUCAUUGCCAUUAAUAUUUUUAUAGUCAAUAGAAAAAGGCACAAACUGGAAAUUUUCACUUUCACAGUACCCGUAAAAUUUCCACUUGUACAGUACAUGUAAAAUUUUCUCUUACUCAGUAUCUGAAAAAUUUCCACUUUCACAGUACCUAUAAAAUGUCCACUUUUACCGAACCAGUAAAACUUAUUUUAAAAGCUUUAACAUUAAAAUUGACCUAUAUUUACACUUUUAUAAUAAAGCCUUUUUAACAGAA